GGGCCCGCACAAGCGGUGGAGUAUGUGGUUUAAUUCGAUGCAACGCGAAGAACCUUACCAGGGCUUGACAUCCUGCGAACCUCUGGGAAACCGGAGGGUGCCUUCGGGAGCGCAGUGACAGGUGGUGCAUGGCUGUCGUCAGCUCGUGUCGUGAGAUGUUGGGUUAAGUCCCGCAACGAGCGCAACCCACGUCUUUAGUUGCCAGCAUUUAGUUGGGCACUCUAGAGAGACCGCUGGUGAUAAACCGGAGAAGGUGUGGAUGACGUCAAGUCAUCAUGCCCCUUACAUCUGGGCUACACACGUACUACAAUGCUACGGACAAAGGGCAGCAAACUCGCGAGAGCUAGCAAAUCCCAUAAACGUGGCUCAG
rnacentral:rRNA from 1 species